GACAGAGGAUGCAAGCGUUAUCCGGAAUGAUUGGGCGUAAAGCGUCUGUAGGUGGCUUUUCAAGUCCGCCGUCAAAUCCCAGGGCUCAACCCUGGACAGGCGGUGGAAACUACCAAGCUGGAGUACGGUAGGGGCAGAGGGAAUUUCCGGUGGAGCGGUGAAAUGCAUUGAGAUCGGAAAGAACACCAAUGGCGAAGGCAGCUUGCUGGGACGGUACUGACGCUGAGGCGCGAAAGCGUGGGGAGCAAACAGG
rnacentral:rRNA from 1 species